rnacentral:rRNA from 1 species
ACCUGUUUAUCCUGCAGGAGGUUGCUGCUAUGAGAAUCCCGAUAAGACAUGCAAGUCAGAGGUAGCAAUACCUCGGCGAAUUGCUCAGUAACACGUCGAUAACGUACCCUGCUCUCUGGAAUAACCUCGGGAAACUGAGGAUAAUACCGGAUAGGAGUCGGACACUGGAAUGUUCUGACUCCCAAAGCUUCGGCGGAGCAGGAUCGGUCGGCGGCGGAUUAGGUCGUUGGCGGUGUAAUGGACCACCGAGCCGAAGAUCCGUAAGGGCCAUGAGAGUGGUUGCCCUGAGAGGGAAACUGAGACACAGUUCCCAGCCCUACGGGGUGCAGCAGUUAGGGAAACUCCGCAAUGCACGCAAGUGUGACGGGAGGAUUCUCAGUGCUCAGGUAUAUGCCUGGGCUUUUGCCAAGAGCAAAUAUCUUGGCGAAUAAGUGGUGGGCAAGACUGGUGCCAGCCGCCGCGGUAACCCCAGCGCCACAAGUGGGAAUCGCUUUUAUUGGGUCUAAAGCAUCCGUAGCCGGUUUGAUAAAUGCUCUGUGAAAUCGUGGCGCCUAACGUCACGCUGUGCAGAGUAGACUGUCCGACUUGGGACCAGGAGAGGCGUUCGGUAUUUCAGGGGGAGCGGUAAAAUGUGAUAAUCCCUGGAGGACCACCAAUGGCGAAGGCAGAACGCUAGAAUGGAUCCGACGGUGAGGGAUGAAAGCUAGGGGAGCGAUCCGGAUUAGAUACCCGAGUAGUCCUAGCUGUAAACGCUGCGAGCCAGAUGUUGCACAAUCCACGUGAUUGUGCAGUGUCGUAACGAAGGUGUUAAGCUCGCCACCUGGGGAGUAAGGUCGCAAGGCUGAAACUUAAAGGAAUUGGCGGGGGAGCACUACCCGGGGUGCGGCGUGCGGUUUAAUCGAAUUCAACGCCGAGAACCUCACCAGGGGCGACGGCACAAUGAUGCUCAGUCUAAAGGGCUUAGCGGAGGAGCCGAGAGGUGGUGCAUGGCCGGCGCCAGCUCGUGCUGUGAAGUGUCCUGUUAAGUCAGGCAACGAGCGAGACCUGUAUUUUUAGUUGCUCACGGGGUCGCAAGACCGACCGAGCACACUAUGAAGACUGCCUUGGAAACAAGGAGGAAGGCGCAGGCAACGCUAGGUCUGUAUGCCCCGAAUCUCCUGGGCUACACGCGCGCAACAAUGGUACGGACAAUGGGCUGCGACACCGAAAGGUGAAGCUAAACCUCGAAACCGUAUCCAAGUCUGGAUCGAGGAUUGCAACUCAUCCUCGUGACAUCGGAAUCCCUAGUAAUCGGAGUUUAUCAUUCUCCGGUGAACAUGUCCCUGCUCCUUGCACACACCGCCCGUCAAACCAACCGAGUCGGGUCUCGGUGAGUCUAUGUUUUUUGACAUGGCCGAACCGAAGCUUGGUGAGGUGGGUUAAGUCGUCACAAGGUA